GCGGGAUUUCCUGGUGUGGUAGGGGCAGUAGACGGAACACAUGUGAGGAUUGUUGCACCCAAGGAAUUUGAGGCAGAGUAUGUGAACAGAAAAGGGCACCACUCUAUAAAUGUGCAAGUCGUAUGUGACACACACGGGAGAAUUUUACACCAAACUGCAAACUGGCCCGGGUCUGUCCAUGACGCACGUAUCUUGCGUGAAAGUGCUCUGUUCACAGGGUUCGAGAGGAGUAUGGUCCCUGCAGGAUGCCACUUAUUGGGAGACAGUGCCUACCCCUCCAAGAAGUGGCUCCUGACACCCAAUGUACGACCUCAGCCGGGCCCACAGUCCGCCUAUAAUAGAGCACACAAAAGGACAAGGAGCACAGUGGAGAGGGGGAUUGGCCAGUGGAAGCGGAGAUUUCAUGUGCUCCAUGGUGAAAUCAGAGUCAGCCCUCCUGCAUAUGUGUGUAGAAUAAUACAGGUGUGUGCUAUUUUGCACAACAUCUGCAAAGACAGACGCCUCCCUGUACCCGAGGAAGGAGAGGACGAGGGUGAUGGUGCAGGUUUCCAUGAGGACCCACCUGUCCCACUACCACCUGUACCUGGACGAGUUCGGGAAGGUCUGCUCUACAGGGAUGAGUUUGUCAACCUUCACUUCAUUGACAGACCUCAACCUCAGCCUCGUGCAGCUGUGUGAUGCUUCCCGACCCAUCAACAGGUUAAUUCCACACCUACUUCCAACUCUGCAGCCUGCAGUUCAAGUUCCCUCUUCAGGCGGAUGAACUGCAGCUCCUCCUCAUCCACCAACAUGGUGCAGGUCCCAACUGGUGUACUGGAGGAAGCUGCAGCGGCAGGAACUACUGGUGGUGGUGUGGUGGUGGUUUGAGGUGUGUCUGUGCUGGGUUGGGGAGGGACAGGUGGUGUGACAUCCACCUGAAGACUCCUGGCAAAAAUACAUCCAUCAGUACCUGCACUCAUAAUUUUCUUGUGUUAUUUGACUUACAUCCCCAUUUAUGGAAACAAUACAGUUUAGGUUGAAAAGCCUUUGCAGGAAAGGAGUGUGUGUUCCAGAGGUCAUUUCUUUGGUGUUCUGCUGUUCAGUACGUAAUGCCUACGUCGUUAAGGACAACUAGCAUGGUUCAUGAGUAAGCAGACCUGACCGAGGUCAGACGUGGGUCACGGCGCUCCGAAUGGAGUAGCCCGGGGCCAGCCUGUUGGCCUCUCCCCUGCCCCUCCAUCCCCCUCUCCCUUUUCAUCAAAAACCCAACAUCGUAAGAAACUAUUGUGACAUCAAGCUUAAUCAUGGUGACAGACAGUGAGUGCUAUGUGUUUGUGGUCCCGUGAAGACACUGAAGUUUAGAAAUGGUCAGUGUGACAUCGACACGGCCUUACUAUCCAGCCGACGUCCCAGGUGCCCCGAGGUACACCAGCCCGACCAUCAUGCUGCUGGGAGAACUCUGUUCAGCCGCCUCUACCUGCACCCCUGCCAUCAGCGGCGACCUGACCCUUUUUUGACCUAUACCCCUUUCAUAUUGUAAUUUCCCAUUUUUUUCAAAUAUAUUUCAAAAUUUGUAUUUUAAAUGUGUAUAUUUUCAGCUUUACAGCUGCAAUCACUUAAUAGACCGUUUUAUUUUUAUUAUUACUAGGAAGGAUGUCUCAACACAUUAUCAAGUCAGCUCUCGAUAGCAAUUGAAUAAAUUUCUGUACACAUUG